GGUAUUUUCAUUUUUCAACUGCCACACAGAAAAUGGAGGGGUUGCCGCUGCCACACAGCAAUUACCAUGCAGAAAAAGGAGUUGAGAAGGGAGUAGCCUCUGAUAUGUAGUCAGCAUGAAUCAGCCUUAGGUUCCCUGCCUCCAUACCCAAUUCUUCUGCCUCAUUAUGAUUCCACUAUGAGGCAUCCAGAGUAGUCAAACUUAUAAAGACAGAAAGUAGAGCUGUGGCUGCCAGGUGGGUGGAAGGAGAGAGAAGUAGUUAUUGCUUAAUGAGUAGGAAAUUUCAGUUUGGGAAGACGAAAAAUGUUCUGAAGAUGGAUGGUGGUGAUGGUCGUGCAACAAUGUGAAUGUACUUGAUGCCACAUAAAAAGUGGCUAACAUGACCACAUGGAAGGAGAGAAAACACCUGAACAGCUCCAACUGUGGCAGCCAUACCAGCCCAGAUGCCAGACAGUGAAUGAAGACGGGCAUCCCAUUCCCAGUAGAAAUGACGUGAAGAACCGAAAAAAACUCACCGACAGCCCUAGAUAUACACCUCCAGGUGACCAACCCAGACACCACCAACAGUUAGCGCUACUCCAGCUGAAUACUCCCCAACAAAAAUCUAUCCUUGCUAUGUGUUGCCUGAAUUCAUGACCAACAACGGUAUGAACAUAAUAAAAUGAUUG
rnacentral:lncRNA from 10 species